rnacentral:rRNA from 1 species
UACGUAGGGGGCUAGCGUUGUCCGGAAUCAUUGGGCGUAAAGCGCGUGUAGGCGGUCCGGUAAGUCUGCUGUGAAAGUCCAGGGCUCAACCCUGGAAUGCCGGUGGAUACUGUCGAGCUCGAGUCCGGAAGAGGCGAGUGGAAUUCCUGGUGUGGCGGUGAAAUGCGCAGAUAUCAGGAGGAACACCAAUGGCGAAGGCAGCUCGCUGGGACGGUACUGACGCUGAGACGCGAAAGCGUGGGGAGCAAACAGG